UACGUAGGGGGCAAGCGUUGUCCGGAUUUAUUGGGCGUAAAGAGCGUGUAGGCGGUUAGGUAGGUCCGUUGUGAAAACUCGAGGCUCAACCUCGAGACGCCGAUGGAAACCAUCUGACUAGAGUCCGGAAGAGGAGAGUGGAAUUCCUGGUGUAGCGGUGAAAUGCGCAGAUAUCAGGAAGAACACCCGUGGCUAAGGCGGCUCUCUAGUACGGUACUGACGCUGAGCCGCGAAAGCGUGGGGAGCGAACAGG
rnacentral:rRNA from 1 species